CCUACGGGUGACAGCAGUGAGGAAUAUUGGUCAAUGGACGGAAGUCUGAACCAGCCAUGCCGCGUGCAGGAUGAAGGCUCUAUGAGUUGUAAACUGCUUUUGUACGAGAAUAAUAGUUCUUACGUGUAGGGGUUUGAAUGUAUCGUACGAAUAAGCAUCGGCUAACUCCGUGCCAGCAGCCGCGGUAAUACGGAGGAUUCGAGCGUUAUCCGGAUUUAUUGGGUUUAAAGGGUGCGUAGGCUGUCGGAUAAGUUAGCGGUCAAAUGUCGGGGCUUAACCCCGGGCCUGCCGUUGAUACUGUCCGACUCGAGAGCGAAUGCAGCAGGCGGAAUGUGUAGUGUAGCGGUGAAAUGCUUAGAUAUUACUCAGAACACCGAUUGCGAAGGCAGCUUGCUAAUCCGCAUCUGACGCUGAUGCACGAAAGCGUGGGUAGCGAACAGGAUUAGAUACCCUGGUAGUC
rnacentral:rRNA from 1 species